rnacentral:rRNA from 1 species
CCUACGGGGGCCAGCAGUGGGGAAUAUUGGGCAAUGCGCGCAAGCCUGACCCAGCAACGCCGCGUGAAGGAAGAAGGCUUUCGGGUUGUAAACUUCUUUUGUCAGGGAAGAGUAGAAGACGGUACCUGACGAUUAAGCCACGGCUAUCUACGUGCCAGCACCCGUGGUAAUACGUAGGUGGCAAGCGUUGUCCGGAUUUACUGGGUGUAAAGGGCGUGUAGCCGGGUUGACAAGUUAGAUGUGAAAUCCUGCGGCUUAACCGCAGAACUGCAUUGGAAAUUGUUGAUCUUGAGUACUGGAGAGGCAGACGGAAUUCGUAGUGUAGCGGUGAAAUGCGUAGAUAUUAGGAGGAACACCAGUGGCGAAGGCGGUCUGUUGGACAGCAACUGACGGUGAAGCGCGAAAGCGUGGGGAGCAAACAGGAUUAGAUACCCGGGUAGUC